AACCUAAUGAUUUUAUUUCUUGGAUUCCAAGUUCUCUUUACUGCAGUUACAAUGUUGGAAGCAUAAGUGCUAUCAUUCACCAUAGCUGCUGAUUCAAUACUGCCAAGCUUUUGGUUUUCAUAUUUAGUUCUAGCUCUUCUUACGCAUUUCAAUGUUCAGGAACUCCGUUGAAUACCAACAAUUCAGAAAUGGAGCUUCUAUGGAAGAAAUUCUCUCCUCUCCUAAAAGUCUCAGUGCUAAGAAGGUGAAGCUGCUGUUGGAAGUUGCCAAUAUUCACCUAGCCUUGAUCUUAUCCUCUUGCCAUUUGGAAGCUCAGAGAAGUUAAUACUAUUUAUGAGCACUCCUCCGCUUAUAAUGCCUUGAUAAUAUCGGGAUUCAAGUGAUUGGUUGUUCCAAGCCUUGACAAAGCCUGAGACAGAGGUUUUUGCUCCAUGGCAAUAUCAUUUCCCUUGUCUGAGUUUCUUGAAGAUAUUAGAAUUAGGAUUAUCAUCCAAAUAUUAAAAAAAGAAAAAAUAAAAAAAUAGUGGUUUGUGUUCGGUCUCUGACUUUUCCUCCUCUGUUAUGUUACUUAGACUAUUUUGUAUAAAGCAAAUAGAAAGAAUUUAAUAAAACUAAACCAUCUAGUUUAACCCAAACAAAAAUUCUUACUUU